rnacentral:rRNA from 1 species
GACGAACGCUGGCGGCGUGCUUAACACAUGCAAGUCGAGCGAUGAAGCCCCCUUCGGGAAGUGGAUUAGCGGCGGACGGGUGAGUAACACGUGGGUAACCUGCCUCAAAGAGGGGGAUAGCCGUCCGAAAGGAAGAUUAAUACCGCAUAACAUCAUUUCAAUGCAUGUUGAAAUGAUUAAAGGAGUAAUCCGCUUUGAGAUGGACCCGCGGCGCAUGAGCUAGUUGGUGGGGUAACGGCUCACCAAGGCGACGAUACGUAGCCGACCUGAGAGGGUGAUCGGCCACAUUGGGACUGAGACACGGCCCAGACUCCUACGGGAGGCAGCAGUGGGGAAUAUUGCGCAAUGGGGGAAACCCUGACGCAGCAACGCCGCGUGAGUGAUGACGGUCUUCGGAUUGUAAAGCUCUGUUAUCAGGGACGAUAAUGACGGUACCUGAGGAGGAAGCCACGGCUAACUACGUGCCAGCCGCCGCGGUAAAAC